ensembl:lncRNA
AUGUCAGUCAUCUUUCUCCUGCCUCUCUGUUCUUCUCACAUCAGACCGGGCCAUGUCAGUCAUCUUUCUCCUGCCUCUCUGUUCUUCUCAUAUCAGACCGGGCCAUGUCAGUCAUCUUUCUCCUGCUUCUCUGUUCUUCUCAUAUCAGAUCGGGCCAUGUCAGUCAUCUUUCUCCUGCUUCUCUGUUCUUCUCAUAUCAGACCGGGCCAUGUCGGUCAUCUUUCUCCUGCCUCUCUGUUCUUCUCAUAUCAGACCGGGCCAUGUCAGUCAUCUUUCUCCUGCUUCUCUGUUCUUCCCACAUCAGACCGGGCCAUGUCAGUCAUCUUUCUCCUGCCUCUCUGUUCUUCUCACAUCAGACCGGGCCAUGUCAGUCAUCUUUCUCCUGCGUCUCUGUUCUUCCCACAUCAGACCGGGCCAUGUCAGUCAUCUUUCUCCUGCCUCUCUGUUCUUCUCACAUCAGACCGGGCCAUGUCAGUCAUCUUUCUCCUGCUUCUCUGUUCUUCUCACAUCAGACCGGGCCAUGUCAGUCAUCUUUCUCCUGCCUCUCUGUUCUUCUCACAUCAGACCAGGCCAUGUCGGUCAUCUUUCUCCUGCUUCUCUGUUCUUCUCACAUCAGACCGGGCCAUGUUGGUCAUCUUUCUCCUGCCUCUCUGUUCUUCUCAUAUCAGACCGGGCCAUGUCGGUCAUCUUUCUCCUGCCUCUCUGUUCUUCUCAUAUCAGACCGGGCCAUGUCAGUCAUCUUUCUCCUGCCUCUCUGUUCUUCUCACAUCAGACCGGGCCAUGUCAGUCAUCUUUCUCCUGCUUCUCUGUUCUUCUCACAUCAGACCGGGCCAUGUCAGUCAUCUUUCUCCUGCCUCUCUGUUCUUCUCACAUCAGACCGGGCCAUGUCAGUCAUCUUUCUCCUGCUUCUCUGUUCUUCUCACAUCAGACCGGGCCAUGUUGGUCAUCUUUCUCCUGCCUCUCUGUUCUUCUCAUAUCAGACCGGGCCAUGUCGGUCAUCUUUCUCCUGCCUCUCUGUUCUUCUCAUAUCAGACCGGGCCAUGUCGGUCAUCUUUCUCCUGCUUCUCUGUUCUUCCCACAUCAGACCGGGCCAUGUCAGUCAUCUUUCUCCUGUCUCUCUGUUCUUCCCACAUCAGACCGGGCCAUGUCAGUCAUCUUUCUCCUGCCUCUCUGUUCUUCCCACAUCAGACCGGGCCAUGUCAGUCAUAUUUCUCCUGCCUCUCUGUUCUUCCCACAUCAGACCGGGCCAUGUCAGUCAUCUUUCUCCUGCCUCUCUGUUCUUCUCAUAUCAGACCGGGCCAUGUCAGUCAUCUUUCUCCUGCCUCUCUGUUCUUCCCACAUCAGACCAGGCCAUGUCAGUCAUCUUUCUCCUGCUUCUCUGUUCUUCUCACAUCAGACCGGCCAUGUCAGUCAUCUUUCUCCUGCUUCUCUGUUCUUCCCACAUCAGACCGGGCCAUGUCAGUCAUCUUUCUCCUGCUUCUCUGUUCUUCUCAUAUCAGAUCGGGCCAUGUCAGUCAUCUUUCUCCUGCCUCUCUGUUCUUCCUACAUCAGACCGGGCCAUGUCAGUCAUCUUUCUCCUGCCUCUCUGUUCUUCCCACAUCAGACCGGGCAAUGUCAGUCAUAUUUCUCCUGCUUCUCUGUUCUUCUCAUAUCAGACCGGGCCAUGUCAGUCAUAUUUCUCCUGCCUCUCUCUUCUUCCCACAUCAGACCGGGCCAUGUCAGUCAUAUUUCUCCUGCCUCGCUGAUCUUCUCCUCUCCACCUGUCAUCCUUUGGCAUAG